AACAAAUUUUCAUGGUUUCAAAACUGUGUAAUCUGUUCGUAGACUUAUGCUACUUGGGUUUGGUAAUGCUUGGGUCCUUCAAUGUAAUAUGCCUGGUUUUUCAGGUUAAAUGUGAUCCUUUGAUAAAAAUGUUGAUAUAAAUUGUGUAACAGAGAAGUCAGCACUCAGCAUGUUUUUCUUCCAAAAGGCUAGGCAAGAAUUGGUUCAUGAGGUUGUUGUGAACAAAGACUUAGUAAAGAAGGCAUUUGAAAACGUACAGGUAACGCAGGGAACCCAUCUGCAUUUCCAGUGUCACAAGCAUGGUGAAGCAUCAGUUCCCAGUGUGCACUACUCCGCUGCAGUGUAUGGUACAGCAUGGAAAACGAGGAGGUUUGGCUGUGUAUGAUUUAGGGAAUGUGUUACUCAACGUGGUUAAUUGGUAAGUUGAACCCUCACUAUUGGCUUUGUGUAUGGAUUGAUUUUACAAAGCGACUGUAAAAGAGGCGGUUUGUUAACUGGAGGCAGUUCAGUAUCCUGGAAAAUGAAAACUUAAUACUUAAAUCAACAAAACGAAAAGCUCGGACUGGUAAAUAAUGCUGUUUAGUGGAUGUCUCUUAUCUGCUUUUCCUAGGAGAUCUGGUUCUGGACCGGACUGAGCCUGCACAAAGCCAGCUGGAGUCUCUCUCGUGCCCUGUGCUCCCUUGCAGGCAGAGAUGCGGGGAGGUAGCACAGGAGCUGGGGGCUGGUGUGACUUCUUAGCCUGAGCUCACCUCUGUGCAAACAAAGAUAUCUGCUUCCAGAUCCUAAUGGGAAGCCUUCUGCGCUUACCGUUAACACUGCUGGCUACCAGUUUUGUAACUCUGUCUUAGUUAAUGAGCAGGUAUCUAAUAAUGUCUUAAAAGUUCCAUUAAUGAGGCCUUGCUUUCUGUGAUGGAGUGGUAAAGGGCUUGUUAAGUGAGGAAAUCAAUAAGAUGCUGGACGAUUGUGUGUGGAUAAUUUACCAGUUACGUCUCCGUGGGCGAUGGAGUUGCCUUAAAUCAGCAUUUCCUGAACUUGGAUGAACUGACCUCUGUUGUUUGCCAAGUAUGAUUGAUUUUUAAUAUCAGCUGAAAAUACUUGGAGUCUUACUGUUUUAUGUAAUUGUAUAGACUAAUUACAGACCGCUCGUUAUGGUCUUUGAGAUCCCCAGAAGUGCACACGCUUGGAAACCGCUGCCUGUUCAAGAAAGAGAAUCUGAUCCUUUGCUUUGAGUAGUGGAAAGGGAUUAGGAAAGGCAUGCUCCUGGGGCACGGAGUGAUUUCCAAAGGCAAGGAGUCUUGUAAUUUCUGUAUUGUUCUCAGACAAGGAUGUUGCUUAGCAAAACAAUGGGGAUCUCUUUAGCUCCUGCUAAAGCCAAGGUACAAGUGAGCGGUAGGUCUCAGGCCUUACAGGUUACUGUUUAAUCUUUGCGUGCAUGAUAAUGACUAAGAUUAAACAAGUUUUAAUUGAUAUAGUCCAGAGCAUGGUCACAUGGCUGGGGGGAGGGGUUGCUCGAAAUCAGUAAUCUCGUUUGACAAAUGCAGCCUUUUCAGUUUACUGCUUCUGGUCUCCCUUUAUUACAGGAUCUGAAACAGCGUAGUGACCGUUCUUAAGCUGUGAAGGCUUAAAAAUGUGGUUUUAGUACUGCUAUUACUUGGAACAUAUACUUCUCUCUUUUAUGUGCUCUAUGUUAAAUAAAAUAGUCCCUAAACUGUAAUGGAGCCUGCAAAAUGGUCCUAAUACCAGUGAUUACUAAAGAUUUUGGGAAAUUAUUAUUUUAUAGAGUGAUUUAAUGAACAGUAUCCAAGCGUGUCACUUCAUUUUGAAGCAUGGGUUAAGUCUUACUAGAAAAGACUGGAAUCAAAGCUCAUAAAAAUCUGAAGUAUGUAUUUUACCUUUUUUUUUUUUUUUUUGUGCUGAGGUGCUUCUGAAUCAAGAACGAAGGGGCAGGGGAGCUCUUGUUCAGGCUUCCCUCUAAACGGGGAGUUGUUUGAUGUGCUGAGGACCGUUUGAUCUAAGUCAGGGUUUGGGGUGCAGAGUUUAUCCCGCCUGCUUAAACUUCACAGCAAGCACAUGAAGAGACGAGAAUGGAAACAUUGACAGAAGUUUAAUAGGGUAGUGGAUCGCCUCCCCCAGCACAGCAGCACUUUCUACCGUGGUGAAUGUGUCGUAAGUAGACAGGAUAAAUGUGUGGUGGAACGAUGGAGAGCGUACAGGCAAAAGGAAGAGCCUGGUGGUAGGCCAAGAUGGUCUCGGUUGGCUGGAUGUAAAUAAUUUUAAUUGUCUGGGGUUUAUUUAAAAGCCACUGUCCAGGAACUUCUAUAAAAUCUGUGAAAUUAGUGUUAAAACCAUAACUUGUAAUUUCAGGUUUGUGUUUGCCUUUCUUCUCUAGGUCCUGUUCCAUGACCGUUGCGCCUUAACGUGUCUGUCAUUUAACAGUUACAAUGAGUAGUUGUGUGGUAUUUUUUGUUUGUUUGUGUUUUUUUUUUCAUAAUUUCCAUUCCUGGGAAUGCAGCGUGUCAUUUCAGUAUCAGGUCCUCUCUUUCCUCAUUGUCACUUAAAACAGAAAUUUUUGUAUCAGAAAUGAAAACAACUUCAUUCCCUGUAAGGAAAUCCCACAGCUUUCAGCUGAUCUAGAGAGCUGUAAGGGAUUGACUCUCGUUGAAUUCCUUUUGUAUGGUAGAAUUUUUUAAUCCUCCCUACUCCAUUGUGGUUCUGCCAAGCUAAUGAGGGCAAGAGGUAAAAACAGGUAGGAUCAGUGAACAUGAGUCUGGAUACAUGUGCGUGUUAUCAAAAUUUGUACUUUCCCGUUAGGUGGUUUUGGGUUGUUAGGGCUUCGGGACUGGAGUUCUGUCUUCUCAUGCUACAUUUGUGAUGGUGUCUUGCUUUGGGAAUCUGUGUGAAGAUUUUUUUUUUUUUGUAUUUUGAGAAGGAGUAGAAAAUGUCACAUUAUAUUGCAUUUUGGAAAAUUUACUACUAUUAUCUGUGUACUUCCUUCUAUUAAAAUAUAUCUUUGUGCCCACUAUAAGGUGCUCCUUCUAGAACAUAUUUGCACACUUUUCUUAGCUCAUUACUAAAUACAGUUCCAUAAAUACAGUGUUGUUGAAGACUUCUGUGUUUUCCACUUCUGCUUCCUUUCUGGAGUCAUAUUUGUUUGUCGUUAGCGUCCAGAGAAGUUUCUGGAAAAGUCAUUAUGACACAAAUGGCGUUAUGAUUUCAGAAGGAGUGUGGGAAUUUUUUUUCUUUUCCGAGAGGAAAAUAGAAGAUGGAAGUUGGGGAAAUACGGGAACUGAAUUGUAGGUUUGCAGCUGGAGCUCUGUGCGUGUUAUAAAAUAGAGAAUUGCAGCCUUGAACGUCUAAGUGCUGUUGCAUUUCUCAGAACCAGCUUCACUGCACUUUCUUCGUGCUGAUGAUAAAAGAGAGUAGACAUGGAAAGAGGAAUAUACGGCAGUGCUUGGUAAAGGUGGGGCCUUCGUUUCGUCAGGAGAAAAGCCUGAUUCCUGCUCCAAAGCACUUACUGUCCACGUGUCCAACACGCCAUGGCUGAUGAACAGACAGCAGAAUAGAAGCAAGCCAGUAGCUCGACCCCUGUGAAGUGGUUUCUUUUUAUUCAUCUGCAUUGGAGUAGUUGUCCUUAAACAUUUUAGAUCAACUCUUACUUUUAUUUUUUUGCAAUUUUUGCCUUCCAUGGGUUUACAUAUAUAACCAUUCCCUGUCUAAAGUCUCUGAGCCUCCAUAUUGAGACCCCGUGCUGCCUGUCAGACCCUGUUCCCCAGAAAGAAGUAACAUUUACCCCUGAAGCUCCAGAAGAGUUGGGGCGGGCCCCAUUUUGAGUAGCUGUUCCAUCCGCUGUCCUGGCUAUCACUGGAGCUUCCCUGUACAUCGUUGCUGCUCGGUCUCCUCAUCCCUCUGCCUGCCUUAAAGCUCUGCUGCCGAGGGUUUCAGCUCUCUGCCCUGCCCUCCUGGGGGAGCUCCCUGGACUUGCCCCCCAUGGGUGGCUGUGGCCGAGCAGUGGGGUCGGCUGUAGGAAGGGGCAAGGCAGCCCUGUCCAUGGUCCUAGAGCUCAGCGGGGCUUCACACCCCCGGGACUCUCCUUUAGGGAUGGGCAAGUGGCCUCACUUGCCUUCUAUCCUCACUGGCUUCAAAUAAACGUUAUGUUCUUCUUGAAGCUGAUGUAUAGGGAAGAAGUUUCUCCUGUAGAUAGGAAAAAAAGAAGAAAAGAGGAAAGUCAGGAGACACUCACUGGGUGGAACCUUUCUGUGUGCUUUCCUGCUGUGGUAACGUCUUCCAUCCCCCGUCUCCUUCCCGUUCUGUGUUUAGCGAUGCGUGUAGCUCAGGACAGUUUGUAGGUUCUGUGAAAAACAAGCGUUGGUAACAAAACUACCUGGUAGGUAGGAAAACACGAGGGUGUGAUUCUGAAGAAACAAGUGGGUGCUGGUGGCUGGGGUAAGUCUGAUCAGAGGAAAGGGGAUCGGAAGUGAAGGAGAGGUGGUUGGUGUUGCCUGCUUGUGAGCGUUAAGAUCAGAGACCAUCAUCUUACAUUUGCUGCAAAAGGGAGAGCUAUUGCAAGUACGGAGAGGGAUGCUUUGCACAGAAGACAAAUGAAAGGCUUUUUAGCAGUAUCGUGAACGGAUGUGGCUGAGGACGACUGUAUUUGUCAAGGCCAGAAUUGUGUAACGAUCAAAAUUAAAUGGUGAGAAGCUCUAAGCUUGUGGUAGAAAUACUGUGCAGAAGGAGUCUGUGUGGCUGGUGAUAGGUUUCAGUUCAAGAAAACCUGUUGGCUAUAAUCUGGUAAAGUGUGUGCUAACGUUGCAGGCAUGGAGGAAGAGUGCAAGGGGGAAAAACAAGAGCUGUGUUUUGGCUACAUUAUGGUCAGACAUCUGUGAUGACAGGCUGAGAUGUUCAUUUUUUGCAGGAGGAAGCAUGUAGGAGCAGGAGAAGCUGCUGUGAGAGUCGCUGAUUUAAAGGCAGCAAUCAAAUGGCUGCUGUGGAUGAGACUGGAAAUGAGCGAAGUGUUUUGUUGAAUCAUUAGGGGUUGAUUCAUUGUAUAUCAAAAGCCAAACAAAGCAAUUAAAAGGAAAAACAAAGCAAAAUAAGCCCAAAAGUUGUAUUUAGGAGCCAGUCAUUAAACUGAGAGCUGGCUAAGUCAGCAGAACUGAAGAGUUUAUUUACUAAAGCAUGGCAAAUAUUUAGGAAAUGUCCCGAGAAAGGGGAAAACGAUGGGAGAAAACUAUGGACUUGAAACACCUGGAGAAGAACAUCACAAACGAGCAGAGCCUGACAGAAAUGGGAAGAAAAAGGUCAUCAGAGGAAUGUAGUACACUGAAAAGUGUGGGUAAAGGUAACGGGCAGAUUUGGAAAAGUCCGGUUUCUUUAGCUACAGCAGCAGGCAGUAAGGAAAACAAAGCCAUUCCUUAGGCACGUGGAGCUGUGAGGAGAGAAGGAAGGGGUGUUACGUGGUUAGAAUGUAGUAGCAGCGGUAAUGCAGGUAUUGCCAGCUCUCAAGGAUUGCUCUGCCACAGUUUGGGAGCUCAAAGCGGGGCAGAAGAUAGAAUGGGUAGUGGAAAUAGAGAUGCAAGUUGGCAAAGCAGUAAACAAAACUCUGAGCUUAAAGCCCUGGAUCUGUUGGGGCUGGUUAACUUGUUUUCAGGGAUUCUGAAAGAAUUAGGAUGGUGAUGAGCAAAUGCUCCUGAUAAAUCCUCUGAAGACUAGGAUGAUACCUCUUGUAAGCACAGAUGGAAAAAAAGAAAGUCAGGAUGGAAAUAAGAAGAGAAGUAUUUACAGCUAAUAAAAACGAUGGCAGCAGAUAGAGAAACGCAGACCACGGCUGUUAAAUUGAGGAGAAAUGUUCUUAUUCAAAGAUUGUAUCCCCAGACGAGUGGCAGGCUAGCAAAGUAACCAGCUCCUCUUCCUGCUUUUAGAAAUGUUUGAAAAACAGUGGAAAAAUGUCUUUUCAGCCUUUGCCAGAAGACCAUGCUUUCAUGUUUGCUUUCAGUUUUGAAGUUGUAGUCAGAUGUGCAAGAACUUCACACAGGGAAAACUUGUGAAUGAAGGGUUUGGGGAGUUUCUCAGGACGCUGCGGAAGAAUGCAGCAAAGAGAGGAACAGCGGUGGCACUGGGAGGGCAUCAGAGAGCUGACGUGAUUGUUUAGGCCAUGGAUGGCUUUUAAAAAGAUUUGGAAAGUGCUUUGAAGUCAUGUCUGAUCUUAAGCCCGUUUUUCUUUCUUUAAUGCCUUGAUUUUGAGGCUUGUUUAAACAGCGUUUCUGCUCCUCUGGAUACGGUACGGUGGCUCCUUCUGCACUCCUUCACCAGUGCUGGCAGUUUCUUAGGAAAACAGAAUCCCUGAGAACCGUGCUUCUGAAGCUGUAGGGGAUGAUUACAGCCAGGUUUCAUGUAAAGGUAAAAUCUCUGCUUCAGUGCAUUUUCUCUGAGACUUUUUUUCUUUUUCUUAAACCCGUCUGGAAAAUGUGGGUGAAGUUACAGGACAACCAGAGGGUUGGUGUUUGUAACUGUUUAGUUCCUUGCAAGCUGGUGGUAGGGGACUUUCUUUUGUUUUCCCCAGCCUUUUCCCCACACACUCACAUUUGUUAGCACUGAGCAAAAGCUCUUCUCUAUGCAAAGUGCUCACUGCAUGCAGCGGCUCUUGCUGGGACAUAAGCUGGGAGAGUUUUUGCUGUUAGAUAUUAGAUUUUCCUGUGGUUAAGAUGACUACCAGCUUCUUUUGUUUGGACUAAAUCCAGGCUUCUUGCAUGAAAUUUCUCUCACUGUUGGUGUUGAGGGGAGGAGUAAACUGGGCUAGGAAGCAACAGAAGAAAGGAAUGCAAGAAAAUUAGAGUCGGAAGGUAGCUGAACUGUUUGCGAAGUAGCAUGAGGAUCGGUCAAAAGUGAAGAGCAAGAAAAUGGAGUCAGGGUUAAAACCAGACUCGGGGCGGGGGAAUCAUCCAAGGGUAGAAGCUCCGGUGGUGGCGUAUGUGGGGUGGAGGAGGGUCGGGGCUGCCCUCUGCCCCGUUACGAAGGGCAGAAGGACAGAUAUCAGGAGUCUAAGCAAGUUCAGAGAAAUAAGAAUGGACAGGAACUGCAGGGGAAGGGAGAAUGCAGCGGUGUUGAUGCAGAAGGUGGGACGCAAAUGGCAGAGGGCUAACGUGAAGGGGGUCAGCAGGGUAGGGAGGCAGGCAGGGGAGUUGGAGAAGGGGCAGCGAUGGAGGGAAGCGGCUGCCUUGUGAUGCCACGGACCCGUCCUACCCACAGUUCAGGAGAGUGGAAAGAGGUCUGUGCGUCUACAUCCAGAAAGUGGACAGGACUAAGUGUUACCCAGACUUCGUUAGCUGCUGUGUACGUCCCAAAGUUAAUUGUAUUUGGAAAGAGAAAAUAACUUGCCUUACAGGGGAGAAUUUACCGAUGGAGGGACUGAGAUACAGUGCAGUAACUGGAUAGCGACGUUCCUUUAAGCAACGCUGCUUUGCAGCCGUAAGCUUGGGUAGCAUGAUGUAGGAUUUUUCGUCCAGAGCAGAAGGCUUUGUUUUCGAGGGAGUAGGUGUUGGGCAGAAUUUGAAAAAUUUCCUUCUUCAUAUACGCGAGCUCUGUUUCACAAAAAUAUUUACUACGGAAGUGACAUUGCGCGGUGAAACUAUUUCUUUGGAGUGUUCUUUAAUAGGCGGCUGUAAAAGUUAACAUGAAGGAUCCUCUGGUAUGAAUUCUGGCAUCUCACUUCAUAACCCAAGGAAAAACAGAGAACCGAGAGGGAAAGCUGAAGCCCUGCUCGCCAUUGUCUCAGAGCAGCGUGGUGCACAGAAGCACCUGCUGUUGGCGGACCCCUCAGCUCUCCCUGAUUAAAGAUCAGAUUAUCAAUGUAGUUCUGGUCUGAAAUCUAUAAUUCUGUCUGGGCAUUAUGCUAAGUAUGCGUGCAGAUACAUCAAAACAGCUGAAGUGAUUAGAGCCGAGCAAAUUACUUUUCCGUUCCUGGAAGCUUUGUUCUACAUUUAGAGAGCGUAUAGGAAGGGGAAGAAGGGGCGAAGCGAUGUGAACAUCCAUGUGGAUUAUUUUCUCAUGUUUUAUGGCUUAUGUUCUUUGUAGGUGCAAGAUUUCUUUCCUAGAAUAUGCAAUUUUAAGGAAGUUUAGACUGUGUUUUAGGGAAGGCAAGUUAGAAACUAAUGCAUUUCCUAAUCAUUUUAAGCCCCUUCAAUCAAACAGGAUUACUGUGGGGCUCUAGCACUACGAGUGGAAAUUUCCUUAGCCCAUGCAAACGCAGAGCCCCUGCUCGGUUGUCACAUGCAAAACAUGCGGCAGAGAGCCUUGCGAAGCGCAUGUUUUUAAUCGUUUGUU